rnacentral:rRNA from 1 species
UUUACGGAGAGUUUGAUCCUGGCUCAGAGUGAACGCUGGCGGCGUGCCUAAUACAUGCAAGUCGAACGAUGAAGCUUUUAGCUUGCUAGAAGUGGAUUAGUGGCGCACGGGUGAGUAAUGCAUAGGUAACAUACCCUUUAGUCUGGAAUAGCCACUGGAAACGGUGAUUAAUACUGGAUACUCCCUACGGGGGAAAGUUUUUCGCUAAAGGAUUGGCCUAUGUCCUAUCAGCUUGUUGGUGAGGUAAUGGCUCACCAAGGCUAUGACGGGUAUCCGGCCUGAGAGGGUGAACGGACACACUGGAACUGAGACACGGUCCAGACUCCUACGGGAGGCAGCAGUAGGGAAUAUUGCUCAAUGGGGGAAACCCUGAAGCAGCAACGCCGCGUGGAGGAUGAAGGUUUUAGGAUUGUAAACUCCUUUUGUUAGAGAAGAUUAUGACGGUAUCUAACGAAUAAGCACCGGCUAACUCCGUGCCAGCAGCCGCGGUAAUACGGAGGGUGCAAGCGUUACUCGGAAUCACUGGGCGUAAAGAGCGCGUAGGCGGGAUAAUAAGUCAGAUGUGAAAUCCUAUGGCUUAACCAUAGAACUGCAUUUGAAACUAUUAUUCUAGAGUAUGGGAGAGGUAGGUGGAAUUCUUGGUGUAGGGGUAAAAUCCGUAGAGAUCAAGAGGAAUACUCAUUGCGAAGGCGACUUACUGGAACAUUACUGACGCUAAUGCGCGAAAGCAUGGGGAGCAAACAGGAUUAGAUACCCUGGUAGUCCAUGCCCUAAACGAUGAAUGCUAGUUGUUGCCCUGCUUGUCAGGGCAGUAAUGCAGCUAACGCAUUAAGCAUUCCGCCUGGGGAGUACGGUCGCAAGAUUAAAACUCAAAGGAAUAGACGGGGACCCGCACAAGCGGUGGAGCAUGUGGUUUAAUUCGAAGAUACGCGAAGAACCUUACCUAGGCUUGACAUUGAUAGAAUCUGCUAGAGAUAGUGGAGUGCCACUUUUGUGGAGCUUGAAAACAGGUGCUGCACGGCUGUCGUCAGCUCGUGUCGUGAGAUGUUGGGUUAAGUCCCGCAACGAGCGCAACCCUCGUCCUUAGUUGCUAGCAGUUUGGCUGAGCACUCUAAGGAGACUGCCUUCGUAAGAAGGAGGAAGGUGAGGACGACGUCAAGUCAUCAUGGCCCUUACGCCUAGGGCUACACACGUGCUACAAUGGGGUGUACAACGAGAAGCAAUAUCGCGAGAUGGAGCAAAUCUCUAAAACAUCUCUCAGUUCGGAUUGUAGUCUGCAACUCGACUACAUGAAGCUGGAAUCGCUAGUAAUCGCAAAUCAGCUAUGUUGCGGUGAAUACGUUCCCGGGUCUUGUACUCACCGCCCGUCAAACCAUGGGAGUUGUAUUCGCCUUAAGCCGGGAUGCUAAAUUGGCUACCGUCUACGGUGGGUGCAGCGACUGGGGUUAAGUCGUAACAAGGUAACCGUAGGUGAACCUGCGGUUGGAUCACCUCCUUUCUA